rnacentral:piRNA from 1 species
UGUAAUGCAGUCCAGGCCCAAGUGCUGC